UACGGAGGGUGCGAGCGUUGUCCGGAAUCACUGGGCGUAAAGGGCGCGUAGGCGGCGCGGGUAGUCGUCGGUGAAAGCUCAGGGCUCAACCCUGAGUCGGCCGGUGAUACUCCCGUGCUCGAGCACUGUAGAGGCAGGUGGAAUUCCGGGUGGAGUGGUGAAAUGCGUAGAGAUCUGGAAGAACACCAAAGGCGAAGGCAGCAUCCUGGGAAGUUCCUGACGCUCGGGUGCGAAAGCCAGGGGAGCGAACGGG
rnacentral:rRNA from 1 species